UAAGGAAUAUUGGGCAAUGGACGAAAGUCUGACCCAGCCAUGCCGCGUGAAGGAUGAAGGUCCUCUGGAUUGUAAACUUCUUUUAUCUGGGGCGAAAACCUCCCUUUCUAGGGGGCUUGACAGUACCAGAAGAAUAAGCACCGGCUAACUCCGUG
rnacentral:rRNA from 1 species